ACGAACGCUGGCGGCGUGGAUUAGGCAUGCAAGUCGAACGAGGAUAUAUCCUUCGGGAUAUAAGCCGAGUGGCGCAAGGGUGAGUAAUGCAUAGAUUACCUGCCUCUAGGAUAAGGACAACUUUGUGAAAACGAAGCUAAUACUUAAUAAUACAAAAGAAAAUAAUUUUCUUUUGUCAAUGGGAGGGUAGCAAUACCUUUUGCCUAGAGAGGGGUUUAUGUCCUAUCAGCUUGUUGGUGGGGUAAUGGCCUACCAAGGCGAAGACGGGUAGCCGGUCUUAGAGGAUGGUCGGCCACACUGGGACUGAGACACUGCCCAGACUUCUACGGAAGGCUGCAGUCGAGAAUCUUUCGCAAUGCCCGAAAGGGUGACGAAGCGACGCCGCGUGAGUGAGGAAGGCCUUCGGGUUGUAAAGCUCUGUCAGGAGUUAAGAAAUAUAAGUGUGCUAAUACCACAUUUAUUUGACGAAGGCUCCAAAGGAAGCCACGGCUAACUCUGUGCCAGCAGCCGCGGUAAUACAGAGGUGGCAAGCGUUGUUCGGAAUUAUUGGGCGUAAAGAGCACGUAGGUGGGUUUGUAAGUCAGAUGUGAAAGCCUUCUGUUCAACGGAAGAAUUGCAUCUGAAACUACAAGUCUUGAGUGUAGGAGGGGAGAAUGGAACUUCUGGUGGAGCGGUGAAAUGCGUAGAUAUCAGAAGGAACGCCGGCGGCGAAAGCGAUUCUCUGGCCUAUUACUGACACUCAGUGUGCGAAAGCUAGGGGAGCAAACGGGAUUAGAUACCCCGGUAGUCCUAGCCGUAAACGAUGGGCACUAAGUAGAGGGGAUUACCGAUGUUCUCUCUGCCGUAGCUAACGCAUUAAGUGCCCCGCCUGGGGAGUACGGCCGCAAGGCUAAAACUCAAAAGAAUUGACGGGGGCUCGCACAAGCGGUGGAGCAUGUGGCUUAAUUCGAUGCAACGCGAAGAACCUUACCUGAGCUUGACAUGCACGGGACCGCUCUAGAAAUAGAGUUUCUCUUCGGAGCCCGUGUGCAGGUGCUGCAUGGCUGUCGUCAGCUCGUGUCGUGAGAUGUUAGGUUAAGUCCUGCAACGAGCGCAACCCCUACCUUUAGUUGCCAUCGGGUCAUGCCGGGGACUCUAGAGGGACUGCCGGUGAUAAACCGGAGGAAGGUGGGGAUGACGUCAAGUCCUCAUGGCCUUUAUGUUCAGGGCUACACACGUGCUACAAUGGCCGGUACAAAGAGUCGCAAGACCGCGAGGUGGAGCUAAUCUCAUAAAGCCGGUCUCAGUUCGGAUUGGAGUCUGCAACUCGACUCCAUGAAGUCGGAAUCGCUAGUAAUCGUGGAUCAGCAUGCCACGGUGAAUACGUUCCCGGGCCUUGUACACACCGC
rnacentral:rRNA from 1 species